GAAGUGACGUCAUUUUUCAGCGUGAGGCAAGGCGGGUCGUUUUUUGAAUAGAUGCCAAAUGACACGUUUGAUCCUGCACUCCACCUCCCAAGUUGUCAUCGUAAUGUUUUGCGGCACGACCUCCGAACCACCUGUUGAUAUUUCUUGCCAAAUUUAAAAAUAUUUUGACCUCACACACAUUCAAGGGCGUGUCAUCUCUCCCAACCACCUGCCGAUGUUUCUUUCCAAUGUUCAAAAUAUUUUUACCUCACACACAUUCAAGGAUUCCAUCUGUGCAGCCCAAGUCUAUAAAAGAGAGUGGUCAAACAACAGCAAUGAUGCCCGAGGUGCCUGUUCGCCCCACAUGAACGCCAACAGUGUAAAACUAUCAACUUUGAGGACAACGAAUCCGUCAAGAUUAUUCGUAAUAGUGAAAGCGGCACACUUCAUCGGGUGACACCUCUAGAGUGAACACCGCAGAUUAUAGGACUUCAUAUGUUCCUGUCAUCCACCACAAAGGUCCAAGUGUUUCACGAUGUAGGCAACGUGCAAGAAAAAAAAUGACCUUUGGCGGCCUGCAAAGGCGUGCCAAUUAGUCGGUUGUAACGGCAGUGGUCACGCAUGGGGCCAGAAAUGUGCGCUCGCUUGUGCAUUCCAUCACUGCCAGUCAGAACUCAUGUUGAGGAAGGCCAUCUCCUCCUCAUGGUCCUGAUGGUGAGGAAGACUCCUCUACUAGAGGAGUAAGAACACACCAUGUGAUGCCAUCGAGAACAUUCCACCUCUCCAGCAAUCUUUCCGUCCUGUGUGAGUAUCACCAUAUCUGUCGUGAGAAACACUAUAGGGGCACAGAGUCUUGGUAGCACCCAUCUAAGCCCUACACAGCCACAUCCCCCAUUCCCUGACACACAUCCUUUGCCAGCAGCAACAUUAGCAAGGGUGAAGCAAGUUCCUUAACUGGCUUAAAACUGUGAGUAACGCGUUUAGCUACGAGACAACUUUAGCCCCUUGGUAUGAGUUAAGGAAUCCUAAUUGAAUUGACAAUUUUAGUGUACCGGAUUCAAUGUGCAGAGAAACUUGUCUAAGAUUGUGAAAUGUAAAAACAUAUGUAUAGUUCAAAAUAAAUGAUAUACAAUGCGAAAA